UAGGUAUAACAUAAUAGAAAAUUUCAGGAAAUACUAAUAAAGAGUAAGGAUCAAGAAUACAGCUCUGAAAUGAUCAGUCACUCGGCCAACGUAACAAAUUGGCCCCUACCCAAGCCAUCAACUCUUGCCACAUCAAGAACUGUCCUUAAACCUCUGAUUUCCUGCCAACCUGUCAUGUCCUCCAGCAUCUGGACAGAAAGGGAGUGUGGGAGAACGGCAUGGAUUCUACAUGGCUAUGCAGAUGUAUGCACCAUUUCCCUUGGUUGUUUAGAGGAGGUCAGGGGGUGUUCUGUUUGGCUUGGAAAAACAGCAGCAUAAACAGUGUAAGUUUUUUGUUUUUUUUAAAGAUUGGCAGAAGGAAGUGUGGCCCCUCUCUUCAUCAACUGAAAGCAGACAGCCUGAACAAAGUUUUCCAUCUGCCUUGUUCAGAAGCUUGACCCUCCCUGCCCAGGAGAAUAACAGGAAGGACAUCCCUAUGCCCCUGCAUCCCAGGCAUGAUGUCCCCCAAAGGGCUGGUAAAGACAAGCACUCCGGCACUGGGCUUUCUGGUAUCUGUGACAUUCCCCAAGCCCAGGACAGCAGCCCCACCCAGCCCCCAUCUUUGUGGACAGCAGCUGCUCCAGAGCCUUAGUGAGAAGAGCCGGGAAUGUCCAUCUGGACCAACACACUGACCUUGAAGCCCAUUGGUCCUCUUGACCCUGGCAAGCCCAUCACACCCAGGUCACCUUUUUCACCCUGGGGGAAUCAGAAGAAGAUGGGGAAAAGGACCAACGGUGACAUUUACUAGAGAAACAGAACCAGGAAAAUCAUGGGCAAGAUCAUGAUGGAACUAGGGGCAUUGGGGCUGGCUUGUGAAUCUGAGGACCCCACAUGCUCCCUUGCUCACUCCCAGGGGUUCAAGGCUCCAUAGUUCACACUUCGUUCUGGUAUUUGAGAUUAAACGUAAAAUGAAAUUGCCCAAGGCAGAGCAGACCUCCAAACUAAAUGCUAAUAUGCUACAAAUGCUUGAUCUUUUCCUGGAAUAGGUUUUGAGAGGGUGGGGAGAGAGCAUGGGGGCAUCGGGCCUCACAGGACUAAAUGUCAACACCCCAGAAAACUUCACCUGUUUUAUGCUCUGCAUAGGGAGGGCCUUUCGGGCAUUUUCAUAUAUUCUCACCCUAGGUUUGCAGUCAAACAGAGUGAACAUCAGCCUCUGGGCAUGCAUUACGGAGACAGGGGGCUAAGACUCAUGGGUGGGCUCUGUUGCCCCUCAGAAUGGUUUGUAGUUGGAACUUUCAGCACCCUCUGUGCUGAAAAGUAGAAAUAUAAGAUGAGCCACAUACUUUCGAAUUUUUUUAGAAGUUACAUUAAAAGUAAAACAGGUAAAAAGUAAAACAGGU